rnacentral:rRNA from 1 species
UACGUAGGGGGCAAGCGUUGUCCGGAUUUAUUGGGCGUAAAGAGCGUGUAGGCGGCCAGGUAGGUCCGCUGUGAAAACUCGAGGCUCAACCUCGAGACGUCGGCGGAAACCCUCUGGCUAGAGUCCGGAAGAGGAGAGUGGAAUUCCUGGUGUAGCGGUGAAAUGCGCAGAUAUCAGGAAGAACACCCGUGGCGAAGGCGGCUCUCUGGGACGGUACUGACGCUGAGACGCGAAAGCGUGGGGAGCAAACAGG